UUUUCAUGACCUUAAAAUUAAUAACGAGUUGACUAAUACCACUAUGAUUUAUUACAUUCAUUUAUUACACGUUACUUAAUCUUACAUUUAUUGAUUUUACAUAUUACUAUCAAAAAUGGUACUACAUAGUGUUUUAAUAUUUUGAAAUAGGUCCUCUUUGAUAGUUAUUCGACUUUUCUAUCUGCCUCUUCAUCUCGAUUGCAAUUCCAUUACCUACGCAACGCACUUGCAUCACGAGACACUUGACUCUUUACGUUAAAUAAGCGUAACGCGAAAGGGGGAACAGAGGAACAGAAGCAAAGCGUAUCGCGUAUCAUAUAUGCCGCACGUGUGUAUUUUUCAUGUAGUAACUGGUUCAGAAUUGAGACAAAUCGUUGUUCUUUUAGAUACGACUAGUUCGAUAAUAGAACAUUGCUUUUUAUUCUGUCAUAAUAGUAUCAGUUUAUGAUUCAACUUCCUACAUUUUUUACAAUCUGCAUUGCCUAUUUUCUAAAAUAAAAUAAUUUCUAAUCAUUAUUUAUAGUAAAAAGUAAUUCAAAUGAAUUAAAAAAUUAAUAUAGAUAUAUAUGCGGAAAAAUUAAAGAGGUUAGUAAAAAUUCUAUAUUAGACUAAUUUUUAACUAAAGGACUUCUACUUUUAUCUGCACUAGGUAAUUAAAAUUAAGACUAAUUUUAUUAAGGUAAGUUUUUUUUAAUAUCUGCAUAUAUACAAUUUACCAUUCAAUGGUAAUGAACGUGAUUAUGACGGCUUAGGUUGACUUAAAUGUAAAUACACACAAUGGUAUACUACAAUAACAUUGUUUAGCUGUUAUGCAGAAAAUGAAAUUUCUUCAGUCUUCCACGUACUUCGUAGGAAUCCAGCAGAUUUGUGGCCAGGUUGUUGGAGUGGUUUUUCAGUCGUUGUUGAUACAAUUUGCUGCGUCGUAACAUAAGCUAACAGCUUAAAUUAUAGUUAUAUAAUAUCAGAGAAAAAAUUCCCUCUUUGAUAAUACCAAGAUUCUGGAUCAGUUCUAGAUACAGAGACGAGCAAAAGUGUAAACACGCUCCGCUGAUUUUAUGUAGAAGACGAUAAUACGACUAAUUUUUCAAGUAAUCGGUAAAGAUUAGGUAACAGUAACUACAAGCUGCAUCUGAUUAACAAAAUGUAAUAGUUCAUUUUCAUUAACAUUAAUAAUGUACAGAACAUUUUACAAAAAUGGAUAUCUCAAACCAUGUUUACAGUUCUGCACUUUAAUUACACUCGUCGAAUUAAGGUUUCAACCUAGUAUUUCGUCCACUUUCCUUUACUUUUUUUUAAUGUUUUUAAUUUACGAGGCAUACUGUCAAUUAAAUUUUUAAUUAUUUGUGGUUCAAUAUUGUACCAUUCCUGUUGUGUUCUUUCCCAUAAUUCAUGAACACCUGAAGCUGGAUUAUUAUAUUUUGCCAGCCUUCUUUUCAAAAUGGACCACAAAUUUUCGAUCGGAUUCAUAUCCGGACUUUGUGCUGGCCACUUCAUCACAGAAAAAUUUUGAUUUUCUAGCCAAGUUUUAACUAUUUUUGCAGUAUGCUUAGAAUCCCCGUCUUGUUGAAAUACUACUUCGCGUUCAUUAUAUCCAAUAGAAUUAACUACAGAAGGUAAAUUACUGUAGAAUGGUCAAAUAAUGCUCUUUUCGUAUUAUACCAUCGAUUCGAACCAAGGGACCAACACCUCUGUGAGUAAAGCAACCCCAACACAUAAUUGAGCCACCUCCAAACUUCAUAGUUUGUUUUAUACCACCUGGUUGAUCAUUAUUCUCGGACAAAGUCCAAUACCAGGACCUUCUGUCGGAUUCGAAUCUGUUAAUUCUUAUUUCGUCACUCCAUAUAACUCUUUUCCAAUCUUCGAUCGUUCAUUCUUUGUAGGUGUCAACAAAUUGUUUUCGUAAUUUAAUAUUUUUGUUUGAAAGAGCUGGUUUACUUUCUUUUUCCCGAAAUAAGUCGCGGUCUACCGUUUUGUGAAGAAUUUGGUGCACUAACAUACUUUUUUCUUAUUCUUGCAACUGUCGUAUGACUGACACCACAUUUCUCUGCAAUUUGCCACAACGACAAAUCUUUAUCACACAAACAAAUAAUACUGUUCUUUUUAUCUUCACUAAGUGGCUUCAUCUUGGAUCAAGCAUAUCAAACUAAAAAGUAAUCUAACAAUGGUGUGGUACAGUUGACUGUGAAACAAUGGACAAUCAGUGCUUAUUGACAGUUUCGUUUCCCUGACAUUUACAUUCUAUCAUAAAUGUUUCUGACGAAACGUGCAAAACUUUAAACAUUGUUUCAAAACACAAUUAUUAUAAAAUAUUCUGUACAUUAUUAAUGUUAAUGAAAAUGAACUAUUACAUUUCGUUAAUCAGAUGUAGCUUGUAGUUACUAUUACCUAAUCUUUACGGGUCACUUGAAAAAUUAGUCGUAGUAUCGCCUUUUACAUAAAAUCAGCGGAGUGUGUUUACACUUUUGCUCAUCACUGCAUAUACAGAUUUAAAUCUCAAUUCUAAUCUCGCAGUUUACAUCUUCCUCAAAAGCAGCGAAGAGUGUGUUACAGCGUCACCUAUGUGUGCAUCUUUUCAUCAAAAAAGAAUACAGAAUAGGAAAGAAAAGAGGUGAAAGGAGUGACGCGAGAUGGCACAAAUGCUCGGCCGAUACAAAUUAUUGCGGACGUUAGACGAGGUUUCCUCUUGGAAAAGAAUCGCAAGGACACGUGUGGUAAAAGUAAACGUUCCUCUUGAUUUUCUAUUUUUGCACUGUCAGCUAGUUCUAUGAAAUUGGAAUUUCCUUGGUCUAGAGAUAAUUCUAAGUAUAACUAACGAACAAAUUGAAAUUUAUUAAAAUUGAUCCCACAUUCUCACAUUGAUUGCAGAAUGUUAUUCAUCAUCGAUAAAUUAGACACGUGUUUUUAUUCAGUAGAAUACGAUUAAAGGCAUUGAUUCUUUGUUGUACAAGCAAUUCUGAUUUUUAUGCAUUUAUGAGAAAUUUUGAAGAUGCAAAAAUAUACAGAGUGCAUAUCAUAUGCAAAAAUAUAUUAAGUAUCUAAGAUGAAGUCCUACAUUCUUCAGAAAAGAAUUUACUUUUUGCAGACUAUUUUGUUAAUAUUUCCUAGAGUCAAUUUCACGUUAGACUGUAAUAAUCAUAAUUUCUACAAAAUUGCAAAUAAUUUUAAGCAGAAAAAUUCAUAAUAUAUAAGUAAAGUAUUUUUAUGGUGAUGAGAGAUUAGUGAAAGUACAUCUUCAAACUUUCAAACGACUGUCCUCCUUCGUCAUGAGGGUUAAUAUUAUGCCCGCAUCUUCAAAGCAAAAGUAGAAACGUUUCCAAAGUAGUUAAACAUCACUCCGCGGAAAGUGAUUUAUCGCGUCUCGGUGAAUCACCAUCGUUAUAGGAACUGAAUUUCAUCGAAUUUCAAUCGCUUUCUAUUCGAUUCACUGCAAUCCAAUGCUAUCCAUUUGAUUCACGAAAGAAUGUUCCCGAGCAAUAAUAAUAUGCAAACAAUGUGCGUCUAGGAGUGGCGGUAAUAUAUGUUUCGAUUACGUUUAAUAAAACCUUGCUAAGUAAAUUAUACAAGUGGUGUUAAAGUUGUUGUUAGUGAAAGUGUGCUGCCAGGCCGGUAUCCAAGCCUUCAACCGCGAAGGGUUAAUGUUACAUUGCUUAAAAUAAUUAGAGCAUCAGUUAGGGGAAUGCUUUUAUAAAGAAAAUUAGGAACAAUGAUAUACUAUAUAGAACAUUUUUUAUAAACUGGUUAGUUAAAAAAAAACAAAGGAUAUUGUUUGAUAAAAUUUUUGUAGGUAUUAUUUUCUGUUAUUAUUAUUUUGUUAUUAUUAUACAUUAUGUCUUUUUACAUUGGCGUACAUAUGCAACAGUGUAAUUGUACUAUUUACACAAAACAACUAGCCUAUUAAAAACAAUGAAUAGAGAAUAAAAAGAGAUUUCAUUUAGUCAGAAUCGCAUCAAAAUGAUGCACCUGCAUUUUUCAAUUACAAGAAUGUACAUGAUUGCACAAUAAAAGAUUAGUUUAUGCCUCAAACACAUUCUUCGUCAUUUCCGUCAGUCAUUAAACUUUCCUUAAGGCAGAAAUUUACUACAAAUAUUAUUUUACUUUUUUCGUUAUGACCCCCCCCCCAAAUGACCAUAAACCUAUAUACGCUCACGUUCUCAAAGUAAAAGCAGAAAUGUUUCCUAACCGGUGCGAGCAUCAUUCCUGGGAAAGUGAUUUAUUGCGCCACGAUGAAUACGGUUGAAUGCGAAAAAAAUCGAGAGACAACGUUCGAUCCAACGCUCGAUCCAACGCUGCGCCGGAUCUAAUUCGUAGAUUAACGCUCUCGCGCGUUUGUGUGCAUUUAACGUGGGCAAACAAUGUCUGGGAGUGGCUAUGUCAAGGUCAGAAUCUCUAUUAUACAUCGCGCAUAGUGGUAUAUGUUUUUCCAUAACAGUGAUUACGCCGGCUUUGUUGGAAUGCAAAGAUGUAUGCAUGUAUUGAUUUUACAUGCGUGUGUGUACAGUGGCCCAAGAAAGUAUUCAGACAUUUAUAGAAAGCAUUUAUGAAUAUAUCAUAUAUUGAAAUUUCAUUACCACUGAAAUGAGAUUCGAUUACAGAUUACAGAUUAUGAUUACAUCGGUAAAAUUUGAAACAAAUCUGAAAAUGUACAUACAUAGAAGCUACAAGAUAUUCAGUACCAGUGAACAUUUCGCGAAGAUCAUAAAUGUAUUUAAACAGUCAGUCAUCCACUAUUAAUCAGUAAAUUGCAGAUAUUUAUACAAGUUCAUAUCUUUGUGAACCUAAUUAAACAGACGUAAAAUAGGUACAGUUUGCCUUCACCGACUAAAUAUUAUGUUGUUUAUUUUGGAUAUUUUAUAUAUUUUUGACUAUCAUAUACAUUCUGCAAAUAUACAACCUUCAAAUUUUCUAUAAAUACUUAAACAUUCGCAAUCUACUAAUAUGUUACAAAAUUUUGUGGGGCCAUCUUUAACACUUAUUAUUUAUUUAAGAUGGCUAUGCAUGCUUUAUAUAUACGUAUUCAUUUUUUAUUGAAAAUAUACUUGCAAUAAAUGCCUUGUAACUUUUAUAUACAUUUCAAAUUGGUAAGUUCAAAUACUUUCAUGAGCAACUGUAUACUGUAUGUGUGUUUACGAGUGUACGUGCAUA